AAUUCAGGCCAAAGGUUUUAAUGACAGAAAAUGGUUCUUUUUUUUCUUCUUAGUAAUUGUCUAAAGAGUUUGAGUAGGAGACUCUUGGAGCUCAAGGCCUAUGGAAGCUCCAAC